AACCAUUCUCACCUGCGGCUAGACCUGCGGAAGGAUCAUUACAUGGCGGAGAAGGUGGGCACCUGGGCAACCCCAGGUGUGAUGCCUUCACGCUUCUCUACCCUUGUCUAUUUGCACCUUUUGUCGUUCCCUCGGCGGGUCUCGAUCCGCCGGCGGCAACAUUACAAACCUCUUGCAGUAGUAUCCAAACUCUUCUGAUCAAAUAUCAAAUCGUUACAACUUUUAACAACGGAUCUCAGA
rnacentral:misc_RNA from 1 species